GGGUGAUUAGCUCAGUGGUAGAGCGCUUCGUUCACAUCGAAGAUGUCGGGGGUUCAAAUCCCUCAUCACCCA
rfam:Maliponia aquimaris strain CECT 8898 genome assembly, contig: 0002